ensembl:lncRNA LINC00635 long intergenic non-protein coding RNA 635
UCAGCAUAGCAACAGCAGCGUAGCUGAACAUCUUACGGAUGGCCCAGGGCUCCAAAGGCUCGUUUCCUAAGUGAGAGAGAGCCUGGCUGAAGCUGUAUUACCAUUCAUUCUCCAGCCUCCGAAGUCUCAAAGCAUCACUUCCACCAUACUCUAACUGUCAAGACAAACACAAAGGCCCAGAAACUGCCAGACUGUCUUCUGAAGUGGCUAUAAUAUUUACACUCCCAUCAGCAGUGUAGAAGGGGUCUCACUAUGUUGUCUGGAGUGCUGUGGUGGAGUGGAGUGGCUAUUCACAGCUGAGUUUGCAGAGUAAACCACUACCCUGAAAUCUGGAAAGGCAGGUGCACCCACAGAUCCUCAGCUGAGAUCCAAUUACCUGAAAUAGAAGCUGCCAUUAGGAACACUUAAAAGAGCCUGUUCUGCUGGGACACAGAAUCACUUGCUCCAUCUCAUACAUUGAUGAUGAUUAAUUUGUAUGUGUACCUUCCAAAAAAGAUGGUUGUGUUUGAAUGGAGGCCUUCUGGACAGGAAAAUAUGGAGAGUGCGUGCUUUGGAUUCAAGACUGGGAAUGAGGGGACCAGAAACCUAUUCUGUGGCUGUUUCUUGUUAGGACUUUCCUAAGCCUCUGGAAAAGUGCAAAGUACAAUUAACAUUUGAGUCUGUCUGAGUCAUGAAGAAAUGGAGAUUACUGAAAAUAAUUCAUUUUGGUAUCUUCUUACAUCCUGAGAGACUAAUCUUUCCAAGUUCAUCUGAGGCUCCUCUUCUCCAUGACAACCUCAUCCAGGGAUUUCUUCCUGUCCUGGUGUUUUAUGACAUCAUCCUCAUCUCGCUUGUAAGGAUAAUAGCCUUCCUCCAAACCUCACACACUUUUGGAGGAGAUCACUUUUUUUAAAGUGCAUGGAAAUGUUUUGAAACAGUGAAAUCUAUAAUGAUAGGUUUCAUAAUUCUAACAUCCACACCAUAUGAAUCACAUCCUUCCUGAGAUAAUGAGCACACAAUUGCCUGGAUACCUGAAGGAAUGGAGACAGCGGCAGAAAACACUGCAGAGAGGUGGAAACAUCCGUUAAUAUUUUAAAAUCCCAUUACUGCUACCAACAAUAAUAAUGGAUGCAUAGAAAUAGAUCUGGAUUAGCUGAGCUUGAAACAGUCCAUCUCACACACACACAAAAGAAUUUCAGAUACAGUGAACCCACAUGUUGAAGCUUUCUAGUAUAAUAAAAAUUUCAACUGUUCUGUUGAAUCAUCUGCCUGAUUGGAGGCUACAGAAAAGAUGUCAUCUUAGGAGUGCUUGCUCUGAGUGAGGCUCAUCUUCAAAUCUGAAUGACCACAAGGAGAUUUGAUUAUACAUGUGAACACCUCAGAAGGCACAGCCCACCCAGAAGGCAGACAGGUCAGGCUGCUUUUUCUUCAUUGCUUGGAUUCAAUCCUCCGGGCGGCUCAGGCUCAAACAUAACUUAAGCAUGAUUAAACUUUAGAAGAAGCUGCCAGGAAGACUGUGAAAUCUUCAUGCCCAAGGAUCCCUAAAAUUAGGAGCAACAACCACUUGGCUCAGACGGUUUAUGGAGGCAAAGGUUUGGAUGGGAUUAGAGAUUUCUAAAUGUGAGUUCGUGUCCUCUGCCAGACCACCUUACUUCCACCAUUCCUCAGCAAAUCAAGAAAAACAGGAGAAAAGACAUGCCUUUCCAUAAGUUAAAUCUAUUCUGUUUUAAUUCUAUAUUAUAUCUGCUGUACAACUUCUUUUGUUUGUAACACCAUAUUGUUGCUAGUAACUGGAAAUUAAUUUUCACAUGCCUCAGCUUAGAAAAAUAAAAAGCAGCCCUGCAUCAAUCCCA